UUUGUUUGGCUGACCGGUGUGGAUGAGAAGCCGCGUUCCGGGUUCGACCAGCGAGCCGCAGGCGAGCGCAGGACGGCGGAGCGCAGUGACGCCGGUCCUGAGCAUCAGCGAAGGACGAGGCGCGCAGCGCCGAGCAUUCCCGCCGCCUCCACCA
rfam:Gammaproteobacteria bacterium SG8_31 WOR_8-12_16100, whole genome shotgun sequence.